rnacentral:rRNA from 1 species
AUUGAACGCUGGCGGCAGGCCUAACACAUGCAAGUCGAGCGAGCGGCGGACGGGUGAGUAAAGUAUGGGGACUGACCGAUAGAGGGGGAUAACACCUGGAGACGAUGGCGAAUACCGCAUUCUGUGGGAUAAGCCAUAUUGGAUUAGCUAGUAGGUAAGGUAAUGGCUUACCUAGGCGACGAUCCCUAGCUGGUCUGAGAGGAUGAUCAGCCACACUGGGACUGAGACACGGCCCAGACUCCUACGGAGGCAGCAGUGGGGAAUAUUGCACAAUGGGCGCAAGCCUGAUGCAGCCAUGCCGCGUGUAUGAAGAAGGCCCUAGGGUUGUAAAGUACUUUCAGUCGGGAGGCGUUACCGACAGAAGAAGCACCGGCUAACUCCGUGCCAGCAGCCGCGGUAAUUC